ACUUGUAAAAGUAUCAUGGGGGUGAUACUUGUGUGUUUUUAGCCCUUGGAUGGAGAGAUGUGAGGUUGAGAUGAUGGUGGUAGGUGGUGGUAGGUGGUGGUAGGUGGAAUAGUGUUUGAUCCAAGGACUAUUAGUAAUCAAAAAGUAGAUCCAAUGGCUAAAAACACACAAGUAUCACUUGGGUGAUACUUGUAAAAGUAUUCUAGCCCUACUCUAUAUAUAUAUAUAUAUAUGUAUGUAUGUGGGUGUGUGUGUGUGUGUGUGUGUGUGUGUGUGUGUGGAGACGGAAAAGGGAUGGGUUCUUCACAAAUCGGCGU
rnacentral:lncRNA from 1 species